AGCAUGUGGUUUAAUUCGAAGAUACACGAGGAACCUUACCUGGCCUUGACAUGGUAGGAACCCUUAAGAGAUUAGGGGUGCUAGCUUGCUAGAACCUACACACAGGUGCUGCACGGCUGUCGUCAGCUCGUGUCGUGAGAUGUUGGGUUAAGUCCCGCAACGAGCGCAACCCUCGUCCUUAGUUGCUAACAGUUCGGCUGAGCACUCUAGGGAGACUGCCUUCGCAAGGAGGAGGAAGGUGAGGACGACGUCAAGUCAUCAUGGCCCUUACGGCCAGGGCUACACACGUGCUACAAUGGGGCGUACAGAGAGCUGCGAUACCGCGAGGUGGAGCCAAUCUCUUAAAGCGUCUCUCAGUUCGGAUUGUUCUCUGCAACUCGAGAACAUGAAGCUGGAAUCACUAGUAAUCGCAGAUCAGCUAUGCUGCGGUGAAUACGUUCCCGGGUCUU
rnacentral:rRNA from 1 species